rnacentral:rRNA from 1 species
GAUGAACGCUGGCGGCGUGCCUAAUACAUGCAAGUCGAGCGAACAGACGAGGAGCUUGCUCCUCUGACGUUAGCGGCGGACGGGUGAGUAACACGUGGAUAACCUACCUAUAAGACUGGGAUAACUUCGGGAAACCGGAGCUAAUACCGGAUAAUAUAUUGAACCGCAUGGUUCAAUAGUGAAAGACGGUUUUGCUGUCACUUAUAGAUGGAUCCGCGCCGCAUUAGCUAGUUGGUAAGGUAACGGCUUACCAAGGCAACGAUGCGUAGCCGACCUGAGAGGGUGAUCGGCCACACUGGAACUGAGACACGGUCCAGACUCCUACGGGAGGCAGCAGCAGGGAAUCUUCCGCAAAGGGCGAAAGCCUGACGGAGCAACGCCGCGUGAGUGAUGAAGGUCUUCGGAUCGUAAAACUCUGUUAUUAGGGAAGAACAAAUGUGUAAGUAACUAUGCACGUCUUGACGGUACCUAAUCAGAAAGCCACGGCUAACUACGUG